AGACAACCAGUCAAAUCCGACCCCAAAAUCUCAACGAAGAUGUCCAGUUUGAAGACUACUCAGCUGGUUGUGGCUCUGAGCUUGUGCUUGCUUCUUCUGGAUUUUUCGUUCUCCGCAGAGGCGGCUGCAAUACAAUUUACUGAUGUUGUAGAAGCGGCAGCAAAUCAACAAUGUGACCAGAGAGAUUAUUGUUUUGAUGAUAAUGUUGAAGAGUGUAACAAGAUAUGUCUAGGGCUACAUUAUCGUGGAGGCAUUUGUUUGCAACCGCCACCUGAUGCUUCAUCAAAUCGUGACGAGAAGAUUGAUGUUAACCGAUGGAAAGUUUCAACGCUACACCAUUGUUGUUGUUAUCAUUGAUGGAUCUCUAGUCUUGUCUUAGCAAUGUUCCAAAUAAAUAAAAAUAAAAAUUAUUGUUAUUAUAAAUUUUUUUAAAGAUAAUGGAUCUAUCUACCCCA